rnacentral:rRNA from 1 species
AUUGAACGCUGGCGGCUUGCUUUACACAUGCAAGUCGAACGGUAACAGGCCUUCGGGUGCUGACGAGUGGCGAACGGGUGAGUAAUGCAUCGGAACGUACCCAGAGGUGGGGGAUAACGCAGCGAAAGCUGUGCUAAUACCGCAUGUGAUCUGAGGAUGAAAGCGGGGGACCGAGCAGCAAUGUUUGGCCUCGCGCCUUUGGAGCGGCCGAUGUCGGAUUAGCUAGUUGGUGGGGUAAAGGCCUACCAAGGCGACGAUCCGUAGCUGGUCUGAGAGGACGACCAGCCACACUGGGACUGAGACACGGCCCAGACUCCUACGGGAGGCAGCAGUGGGGAAUGUUGGACAAUGGGCGCAAGCCUGAUCCAGCAAUGCCGCGUGCGGGAAGAAGGCCUUCGGGUUGUAAACCGCUUUUGGCAGGAACGAAACGGUGUCCGCUAAUACCGGGCGCUAAUGACGGUACCUGCAGAAUAAGCACCGGCUAACUAC